GAGAGGCAGUUAGCGGAAUGAAAGACUGCCGCAAGCCGGAGAGGGAAGUAGAGCGCGGAAGAGGGGAGAGGGAGGGAGACAGACUGUCAGGCGAGAGCAAAGUCACUGGGCAACAUCGGCCCGCUUCAUGUGUAUGUGUGUGUGUUCAAACAGCACAAAUACACAAAAAUGGACACUCACAGGUCAAACUAUUGCAGUUGAAGGGACUUGUUUGCCAGUAUCGCAAGUACCCACCACUGGUCCCAAAGCAUUUGUACAAAUCGGCUACACAUGAUGCAUUAGCAUGAGGAAGCGCUUCAUUGAGCCGAACAAAGACCAUGCCGUCUCCAACAUUACUGAGUCAACGGGGGUCACGAGAACAAAUCCUCUAAGGCUUUAUGACUUCCUGAGGAAGGAGCCACAUGUGCUGCUGAUUACAGCGCUGAAUGCUAGCGGCUGUUCACCGGAGACUUACUUUAAUGUCUUUCGGGAGGAGAGGAUGAAUUUGCGGGCUGUAAAUCCCACAGCUCGGAUUUAGCGUGAACUAACAUGGCGGCCCCCAUCACCCGGUAUAGACCAACUAACGCGAUCAUUUUAAAAGUGUUUAAACUUCCAAAUACAUGUAUUUGCGCAUAUUUCAGAAUCGGAAUAUCAUAUAUUCCAUAAUCUAGCCAGCAUUUGUGAAUAUUAAAAAUAAAAAAAGAGAAACUAAAUAAAAUCGAUCCAUGUGUCUUACAGGUCUGUUGUGGCUGCGUUGUGUCACGUGACAAGCAUGAAGCGUCGCCAUGGAAACAGUAAGGCAAUACGUUCUAAAAUAACGGUCGCCUAAAAAAACUCACUGUGGGGCCUCAGCUAGAACAUUUUAAACUUACAUGUGAAAGGGUUAAAUAAUGAAAUAUUGAAAAUUUGUUAUCCUGUUAAUUACAGGUGUCGCAAUAUACUGGUAUUGACGAUUAUCAUAAUAUUUAAAUAAUGGAAUAUCGAAAAAUAGUUAUGGUGCUAAUUAGGGGUGUUGCAAUAUACCAGCAUUUAUGAUAAUCGUGAUAUGUAAAUACCGAAAUAUCAAGAAAAUUGUUAUCGUGUUAAUUAGAGGUUUUGUAAUGUACCAGUAUUGGCGAUAAUUGUGAUAUUUAAAUAAUGAAAUAUUGUUAUCAUGUUAAUUAGGGUGUCACAAAAUACCAGUAUUGACGAUGAUCAUAAUAUUAAAAUAGUUAAAUAAUGUUAUGGUGUUAAUUAGGGGUGUCCCAAUAUAUCGGUAUUGAUGAUAAUCGUGAUAUUUAAAUAAUUAAAUAUCGUUAUAGUGGUAUUUGAGGGUGUCACAAUAUAGCAGUAUUGACCAUGAUCAUAAUAUUCAAAUAAUGAAAUAAUAUUAUGGUGUUAAUUAGGGGUGUCUCAAUAUACUGGUAUUGACGAUGAUCGUGAUAUUUAAAUAACGAAAUAUCGAAAAAUUGUUAUUGUGUUAAUUAGGGGUGUCGCAAUAUACCAUUAUUGAUGAUAAUCGUGAAAUUUAAAUAACGAAAUAUCGAAAAAUUGUUAGUGUGUCAAUUAGGGGUGUUGUAAUGUACCAGUAUUGGCAAUGAUUGUGAUAUUUAAAUAAUGAAAUAUCGUUAUCAUGUUAAUUGGGGGUGUCGCAUUAUACCGGUAUUGAUAUAUAUGCAAAUAUAUAUUUUUUAAAAGUCUUUGACUGCGCUGAAGAAACAUGAGCACUGCACGUUUCAAAAUCAAAACGCGGGGCUAGAGUUUUUAUAUUGUAUAUAUUGUUUUAUAGUGUUUAUCUGAAGGAAAGGGACUGUCUUCAGGAAAUUUUCCAUUUCAUUAUGCCUGUAAUGUCUGAUAAAGCAGCGUUUGUGAUCGCAGUGCUGCUUUGUGUACAGCCGUUACCGGGAAAACGGCUAUAUUUACUGCUCCAAAAGCGGCACCUAGUGGCAAAGAAUAAAUUUGAUUUUCAUUCAAACCAACAUGAAAAAAAUCGAAUUAUGGUUUUGCGCAGCAAACACACAGAGUUGUAAAUGUGAACCGGUAUAUACAUCCCACGGGGGAAGCCCCGCCACACAUAAAGUGUAAGCCUGUGGGAAACUGGAUAUUUAAAAAUGGACAGUACGCAUUUGAUAAUAUGACACAUAAUAAUUCUGCACAAUUAUGGAAUUUUAAACUCUCAUGUCUGAUUUCAUUGUCGACACCGGAAGGCGCCCUCGUGCAGAAAGUCUGAAUUGUCCAAAUAUUAAAUUGUGAUAUAAAAAGUAAUAAUUAACUUUUUUUUAUACUACUUUUAUACUUUUUAUCUACAUACAAUUUCUGUUGUAAAAAAGUGGCACGUAUGAUAUCCACUUCCGGUUAAAUAGUCCAGUCAGGCAGGAUACUAUACACUGUACGGGGCUAACAAUGCAAUGCUAACUAGGCUAGCGACCAACAACAACAGCAACGUGACAUUCUUAAACAUAAAACAUAAAUCACAACCAACUGGCUGUCACUUUUUGUCGGUUUUACUUUACACUAGAAACUUGUCGUCCCGUGCCUGGUUAGGAAACGGUGUGUAGAGACAAUGAACCCGCUGCCCUGGUGCGCAGCUCGCUCACAGGGCCUCUUCUGUAUUCUCAAGCGCUGCGUGGUCCUCUCAGCGGAGCUGCGUGAGGGGGCUCUGUCAGCCAGCGCUCUGGCUGGAGGCCCAGACCACACGCACACACACAUAUACACACACCCCGCUCUGUGACAGCAGGCAGAGUGCUUGGCAGUGCCCGCCGUCAGACGGGGGCAGGCCGGAAUGUCAGCGGGCGGCAAUGGCUGCCACGGCAACAGAUCCAUCAGUGUCUGCAGAGGGAGAUUCCAUUACCGUGACGACGGGUUACAUCAUCCAUCUCCGCGGAGCUUUCGCAGGGUCUGUUCGGAAAAAUAUAUUAACGCUUCAUAAUGUUUUACAGCGUUAUGUUUUUUAAUUCCACAAAAUAAAAUUAUAUAAAAUAUAUGGCAGAUGGAUGGAUAGUAUAAUGUACAGAUGAACGAGUUGAAAAAAAUGAUCUGAACACCUUAGCAACUGCAUGACGACAUACUCAGAAGCGCUUACUGUUAUAGUAGCAACAUGCAUUAAAUCCCUCAGAAUGCCUUAGUAACCAUGUAGAAACUUGCUGAAGGAUGCUCAGAACACCUUAGCAACGUGCUUACUGCAACUGCAUAGCAUCACACUUAAAAUCACUCAAAACACUUUAGCAACCACAUAGCAACAUACUCAAAACUGUUAAUGUUAGUCACCCUAGCAACAGCAUAACAAUUUAGGAACUGCAUAGCAAUAUGCUUAAAACCAUUCAGAACACCUUAGCAACCAUAUAGCAACAUGCUUAAAACUACCCUGAGCACCUUAGCAACUGCAUACCAAUAUGCUAAAGACCAAAACACCUUAGCAACCACAUAGCAACAUGCUCAAAACUAUUAAUGUUAGUAACCCUAGCAACAGCGUAACAACUUAGCACCCGCAUAGCAACAUGCUUAAAAACCACUCAGAGCACCUUAGCAACUGCAUAGCAACAUACUUACAAACACUCAGAGCACCUUAGCAACUGCAUAGCAAUGUACCUAAUAUCACUCAAAACACCUUAGCAACCACAUAGCAACAUGCUCAAAACUAUUAAUGUUGCUCACCUUAGCAACAGCAUAACAACUUAGCACCCGCAUAGCAACGUGCUUAAAAACCACUCAGAGCACCUUAGCAACUGCAUAGCAACUGCAUAGCAACAUGCUUAAAAAAAAAAUUAGAGCACCUUAGCAUGAUAAAGACCAAAACACCUUAACAACCACAUAGCAACAUACUCAAACUACUAAUGUUGGUCACCCUAGCAACAGCAUAACUUAGUACCUGCAUAGCAACAUGCUUAAAAAUCAGUCGAAGCACCUUGGCAACCACAUAGUAACAUGCUUAAUGUCACUCAAAAUGCCUUAGCAACGACAUAGCAACAUACACAAAAUUAUUAAUGUUGGUCACCCUAGCAACAGCAUAACAACUUAGCACUCGCAUGCUUAAAAACUGCUCAGAGCACCUUAGCAACCACAUACCAACAUGCUAAAAAACAAUUCUAAACACCUUAGCAACCACAUAGCAAUGUGUUUAAUAUCACUCAAAGUGCCCUAGCAACCACAUAGCAACAUGUUAAAAACUAUUAAUCUUCA